AAGGCACCCAAUGAAACUCCCCAUGUCCUCGAAGGGAGUGGUUUAACUACCGCUCCCGUAGACGGCAUGGAGAG
rnacentral:ncRNA from 16 species